AGCCACAGACAUAUCACCCUGCAGCCCAAGACUGGUUGCCCAUUGAAGCUAAGCAGGGUUGAGCCUGGUGAGUACCUGGAUGGGAGACCUCCUGGGAAAACUAGGUUGCUGUUGGAA
rnacentral:rRNA from 1 species